rnacentral:lncRNA from 1 species
UCAGAUGUCAAGUCAACAACAGCUUCGGGUCUUAGUGGACCAGCUGCAGAGGGAAGCGAACAUAGAACGCAUGAACACUUCAGAAGCCAUUAACCAGCUGAAGGAGUAUGUCCGCGAGCACCAAAAGGAUGACUACUUGUGCCACCCCAUGAGGAACCCUCGAGCCAACCCAUUCCGAGAGAAGAGCAUCUGCCACAUCCUCUAGACCUUUUUAAACAAGCAUUUUUAAGCUUUGUGAUGUUGUUUAACGAUGUUAGAACAAAAUGCAGCUGAUCUGUGUUUUAGAUUUGAAUCGAGCAGCGAAUUUGUACACUUAAUGCCAACCAGUAGAUUUUGUAAGGUUGAUGAGAUGACUUGACAUGGUAUCACAUGUUAGUUGAAUUGCGAUUUUAGUUCCCUUUUUUAUUGUUUUUAUCUGACUCUUUGUUAUUUAAUUUCCUGGAAUUAUUAUAGAUCUGAUAGAAGAGUAUAAAGGAAGUAUAUAUUCACUGUAUAACAGUAUUUUUGCUUUUAUUUCAUUUUAUUAAGUAAGUGUUUUAUGUGUUCUGAUACAUAGACAUGAACUGUAUCUUCAUUAGGGAUCAGAGCUGCAGUCUGUGUUUGUGCUGAUAUUUUAUGAUUAUUAAUAUUGUACCUCCCUAAAGGUGGAUCAAAAUAGCUUAAGCUCACCAAAGAUAGCCAAUUCAGUAACAGAAUCCAAAGGAUAAGAGAUUAUUAGAGCUAAUGUUAAUAUCAAAACCUCCAUUUUAAAAAUGCAAGUUUUGAGAAUUUUGUAUUUGGUUAAGAUAUUUUGUACUCCUAUCUCAGGCAGAAUUGUUGAUCAUUUAAAUUACAAUAAUAGUGACUGAGUAUGUGAGUAGAUGUGAGGAAGUCUGUGUAAAAUGUGCUUUGUUGGGAAUAAAUGAGUGUAUAAAAGUGUAUGUGCUUGAAUUUGUUUGUUUGCAUAGAUGUAGGUGUAAGUAGGCUUCCGCAGUGGGUGGGCGUGUCUGUGUAUUUUUGUGUAAAUAUACAUAGAUAUGUAUGUAUAUAUGUAUCUGUAACUUUUUACAAUGUGUUUGUGUGUAUCAGCAUUUGUAUAUGAGGGUUUGUGUGUGUGCAUACUGUAUGUGGGUGCAUAAAGGUCCACAUUUAAGUACACUGACAUAAGCAAUAGUGCACAUAUCAUAUUUUUUUUUUUUUUUUUUUUUUUUUUUUUUCUUUUGAAAUAGGUUCACCUGCAGCUAUGUAGCAAGGGACAGCUAACAUUUAUUUUAUUAGAGAUUAUAACAAUGUACAAUUUUGCCUUUAAAGAUCUGUUUCAAUACCAUGUCAAGCACUGUUUCUAAUCUAUACAGGAAGUUAGCUAUUUCUAAAACAUUAGGAAUUUAUAAGCUAUUUAUUAGCUGUUAGCUAUUUCUAACGCAUCAUAUGCAUUUCAUACUAAAGCACUUUCAGAUUGUCAAGCCAAUUUAUAAUGGUCUUCAGGAUGUUAUUAGGAUUUUUACAACCCUUUUUUUGAUAGAUAUGGAAACCAUAUUGUGUUUUUUAUUUUCAUUUUGAAGUUAUAUAUAUAAUUUUUUUUUUCUCUCUCUCUCUUUCUUCCACACAGUAAUUCCCUGACUACUAUUGAUGAAGAUGAUUUCUUGUUAUUUCAAGAUUGGGUAAUGGAACGGAUAAAUAAUUUGUCUGUGAAAUUUGAAUAAAUCAUAAUUUUGGUUGACAUGACAUAUGUAUUUUUGGAAACUGGUGAGAAUACAAUAGUAUGAAUAUGAAAAAAGUCUUAUAUCAACUUGGUAUUGAAAGUGACACAAAUGGAAGAUGGAAACAGUUUAAGAAAACUGAGUAGAUAAAUAUUAAUGUCACAAGUCUUUCAUAACAUAAUCAACACUUACCUUCCUCAUAGGAUCUAAAAAGAAAUGUUUGUACAUACAUACUUAAUGAUUGAGAAAGUACAGUGUUUAUUUUAAAGACUGUAAGCUGUUGAACAGGAUGUGGUGGUUUGGAGAUCUUUCUUUUGUCAUCAUGAAUCUCAUUUGCCAUUCUGAGAAAAUUAUUAUAUAAGCCUUCAUCUUCCUCUUUUUACUUAGUUCAUGUCAAAGUUUGGUCAUUGGUUCAUGGUUUUGUUGCAUGUUUUUAGGUGUCCUUGUUCCUCUCUAUUUUUUCAUGGUAGUUUUCUUGUGUAGGACUUGUUUUAACCCCCCACGGACAGGGUCUCGCAACAUUACACAUGCAUCCACCAGCCUCUAUUUUAAUCCUACUCAUCUGUUCCCCAUAUGUCAAUAAGUGAUGAAAAAUUACACUUGUUCUUUCUUAAUGAUUUUAGAUUAUUCGUAAUCAUUACAAAGUAUAUUUUAUAAGGGAAAAUAUUGCUUGUAUAAAUUUAUAUUUGUCAAAAAAAAAAAUAUAUAUAUAUAUUUAUAUAUAAUUUGUGGGUGUUAUGUAGCUGAAACCUUUCCGUGAGGAGACAAAAAUCCAUAAAAGCUGUGUUUUUCAAACAGGAUAAAGAAUGGGUGACAAAGAGUCUUCUGCUCUGGCAAUUUUUUCUCCAAAUUAAAUAAUAACUUCC